UGAUUGUGAAUUCUACAUUGCUUGAUGAAGGUGGGCAAGACCAAUUCUCAUAGAAAUGGGAAAUUCGAUGACAACAAAGCAUUGGCUCAGCUUGGCUUCCAGAUUGGGGAUUACUUGGAUGUGGCUAUUUUUUAGAGGCUCUAUUAUGUCAAAUUGAGAAAGGGAUGGAUAGACAGUGGAGUAAUAAUUAUCGUAUGCAAAGAGCUUCAACAUUUUUGGUUGGACAAGAUGGUAUGUAGGGUAAUCUGAAGAAUAAAUGACAGAAUUUGUGCUCUGCAUCACAUCUACAUCUUAUUCUGCCAUGUUCGGAGGUACUCCAAGUGUUUAGGCUUUAGAGAUCUGUGAAUCUACCAGGAAUGAGGUUUUAGUUCAUUUUCUUUUUUUCCCUGGUUUUAAUUCCACUGUGUUCUGGAUUUAAUUUUGGCAUAAACGAUUGGAUCUGCUUGAAGGUCAAUAAUUACACCUCAGAAUGGCUACCCUGUCCAGAAUCCUACAGGCUUACCAGCUAGAAAAAUGCUUUAGAGAUUGAAAAUGAUGUGUUGUUAAUGAGCUUGCUCUACUUUACAUGCCGAGAAUUAUUUGUA